rnacentral:lncRNA from 1 species
CCAAUUCCAGUAUUCCAAUAACUUAUCUGCUGACUACAUUUCAUGCAAGGACAAACAUCAAACUUAUGAUAGUCAUUUGUUAAAAAACAAUGAUGUCCAGAUAACCGAAUAGUAAGCCUGGAAAACAGAUGAUUUGCUAAUAAUGUGCAAAUAUAUGAUUCAUCAUCUUUUAUAGGUCUAUCUCUUUUUUCAGGUAUUCUAUGCAUGCAUCUCAAACAUUCCUCAUGGAAAUCU